rnacentral:sRNA from 1 species
AUAAUGAGUGAGUGAGUGUGACUAAUGUGGCUUGGUUUUUGUGCCUUCAAAACCAAAAUGAGUAUUGACGAUCAAAUUUCUGUUGGGUGACCUUUUUGCCAACAUCAGAUAGGCAUCUAAAUUCAACCUUUCCACGUUUUUCUCCUUUGACGGGACUAACAGCAGAGAUCUUUUCGAAAAUUUCACCCACAAACCCUUUUGGUUUUUGCACAUAUUCAUCUUCCGUAGAAUCAAUCAAAAUAUUCUUCUCUUCACCUGCAAAACCUUUCCAAAGGUGAUUUUGGGUCACAUGCUUCAAGUUCCUUGGUGGUAGCAUUAUAUUAAUAUUGCUGUUAUUUCCUAUGGACCCUGAUUUCUGUUUAUUUAACUCAUCAUUAGAGUGAAACAUGUUAUCAGGGGUGCUUGUGGUGAAAAAUGAAUAAAACGAUGAAGACCCUGCGGAGGACGACGAUGUUGGAGAUGGACACUUCACUGAACUUCCAAACCCUUGUAUUCCGUUUGUUAUUUUCAGAGCCUUCAAACGUGCUUCUGUCAGAGCUUCUGCAUUCUGUAAAAGCUUCACUAUUUCGUCUGAUAGUUUUUGCAUUCUGGAUCCCCAAUUGAACCUGUUGAUUGCCAUAGGAGCAAACUCUUGAGGGCCAUGGGUGAGCAAGAAUUCCAGAAGAACCAUUGUUUUGUAUGCUUGCCUCCACUGCUCCCAAUCCACGUUAUACAACCUGCACUUUAAACGAUAUAGUAAAGAAGCAGUGGAUAUAAACUCCAGAGAAAUGUAUAAUAAUGUCAGCUUAAAGAUAUACAAAAAAGGGUGUCAAUGAAGAAGCAUACCUAUGAUGAAGAAUAUCAACAAUUCUCCAAUACUCAUCUAUGUCAAAUGAUGCCUCGGCAAUUCUGGUCAUAGUUUUGGCAUCAGGACUGCAAUCAUCCUUAUUUGUUGCUUCCUCUGCCAGCCUGAUGAUAUUGUAUUAUAGGUAUGUUAAUGCCUCUCUAAUCUCAAAGCUGCAACUCUUCUGGAAACUAUGAAUAUGAAUUAACAGUAAAGGAGCUACAUUUAUUUACUGGUCA